rnacentral:rRNA from 1 species
CGAGCGUUAUCCGGAUUUAUUGGGUUUAAAGGGCGCGUAGGCGGGACGCCAAGUCAGCGGUAAAAGACUGCAGCUAAACUGUAGCACGCCGUUGAAACUGGCGACCUGGAGACGAGACGAGGGAGGCGGAACAAGUGAAGUAGCGGUGAAAUGCUUAGAUAUCACUUGGAACCCCGAUAGCGAAGGCAGCUUCCCAGGCUCGAUCUGACGCUGAUGCGCGAGAGCGUGGGUAGCAAACAGGAUUAGAUACCCUGGUAGUCCACGCCGUAAACGAUGCUCACUGGAUCUUGGCGAUACACUGCCAGGGUUCAAGCGAAAGUAUUAAGUGAGCCACCUGGGGAGUACGUCGGCAACGAUGAAACUCAAAGGAAUUGACGGGGGCCCGCACAAGCGGAGGAACAUGUGGUUUAAUUCGAUGAUACGCGAGGAACCUUACCCGGGUUUAAAUGUGGAGUGCAUGAGCUGGAAACAGUUCUUUCCCUCGGGACUCUUCACAAGGUGCUGCAUGGUUGUCGUCAGCUCGUGCCGUGAGGUGUCGGGUUAAGUCCCAUAACGAGCGCAACCCCUAUCGCCAGUUGCCAGCGGCUGAGGCCGGGCACUCUGUCGAGACUGCCACCGUAAGGUGCGAGGAAGGCGGGGAUGACGUCAAAUCAGCACGGCCCUUACACCCGGGGCGACACACGUGUUACAAUGGCCGGUACAGAGGGCAGCCACGGGGUGACCCGGAGCGAAUCUCUAAAGCCGGUCGUAGUUCGGACUGGAGUCUGCAACCCGACUCCA